rnacentral:sRNA from 1 species
CUUUAGCCCUGAUCGCAGUGAUGUCCUUUGUGGUUUUUCUUUAAAACCAUAAAGACUUAACGGAGAGCAGGACCCAUA